GACAUAGGUGGCGAGCGUUAUUCGGAAUUACUAGGCGUAAAGCGAGUGUAGGCGGACGCUUAAGUCUGACGUUAAAUCUCCGGGCUUAACUCGGAGCUGUCGUCGGAUACUGAGCGCCUCGAAUGGGGGUAGGGGGCAGCGGAAUUCCCGGUGUAGCGGUGAAAUGCGUAGAUAUCCGGAGGAACACCGAUGGCGAAGGCAACCGCCUGGGCCUGUACUGACGCUGAGACACGAAAGCGUGGGGAGCAAACAGGG
rnacentral:rRNA from 1 species